AGUGAACGCUGGCGGUAGGCCUAACACAUGCAAGUCGAACGGCAGCACAGUAAGAGCUUGCUCUUACGGGUGGCGAGUGGCGGACGGGUGAGGAAUACAUCGGAAUCUACUUUUUCGUGGGGGAUAACGUAGGGAAACUUACGCUAAUACCGCAUACGACCUACGGGUUAAAGCAGUGGAUCUUCGGACCUUGCACGAUUGAAUGAGCCGAUGUCGGAUUAGCUAGUUGGCGGGGUAAAGGCCCACCAAGGCGACGAUCCGUAGCUGGUCUGAGAGGAUGAUCAGCAACACUGGACCUGAGACACGGUCCAGACUCCUACGGGAGGAAGCAGUGGGGAAUAUUGGACAAUGGGCGCAAGCCUGAUCCAGCCAUACCGCGUGGGUGAAGAAGGCCUUCGGGUUGUAAAGCCCUUUUGUUGGGAAAGAAAAGCAGCAGGUUAAUACCCCGCUGUUCUGACGGUACCCAACGAAUAAGCACCGGCUAACUUCGUG
rnacentral:rRNA from 1 species